CUCUACGGCCAUGCCACCUUGAACAAGCCCGAUCCCGUCUGAUCUUGGAAGCUAAGCAGGGUCAGGCCUGGUUAGUACUUGGAUGGGAGACCACCUAAGACCAGGUGCUGCGGGCG
rnacentral:rRNA from 1 species